rnacentral:rRNA from 1 species
UGGGGAAUAUUGGACAAUGGGCGAAAGCCUGAUCCAGCCAUGCCGCGUGUGUGAAGAAGGUCUUCGGAUUGUAAAGUACUUUAAGUUGGGAGGAAGGGCAGUAAGCGAAUACCUUGCUGUUUUGACGUUACCGACAGAAUAAGCACCGGCUAACUCUGUGCCAGCAGCCGCGGUAAUACAGAGGGUGCAAGCGUUAAUCGGAAUUACUGGGCGUAAAGCGCGCGUAGGUGGUUCGUUAAGUUGAAUGUGAAAGCCCCGGGCUCAACCUGGGAACUGCAUCCAAAACUGGCGAGCUCGAGUAGGGGAGAGGGGGGUGGAAUUGCCUGUGUAGCGGAGAAAUGCGUAGAUAUAGGAAGGAACACCAGUGGCGAAGGCGACCACCUGGGCUCAUACUGACACUGAGGUGCGAAAGCGUGGGGAGCAAACAGG